rnacentral:sRNA from 1 species
UUGCGUAUGUGGGUACAGAUCAGAAGAGCUGUGACCCAGGCCUGGAGGAUCCGUGUGGCUUAAACCGUGCACGAAUGAGCUUUUGUGUAUACAGCAUUCUGGGUGUUGUGAAACGAACUUGCUGGCCCACUGACCUAGAAGAGGCCAAAGCUGGGGGAUUUGUGGUGGGUUAUACAUCCAGUGGAAAUCCAAUCUUCCGUAACCCCUGCACAGAGCAGAUUCUGAAACUUCUUGACAAUUUGCUUGCGCUUAUAAGAACCCACAAUACAUUAUAUGCACCAGAAAUGCUAGCCAAAAUGGCAGAGCCUUUCACCAAGGCUCUGGAUAUGCUUGACGCGGAAAAAUCUGCUAUAUUAGGUAAGAAAUGUAACCUUUUUUCUCCUAAGGUUUAUCUUAUCCCUAAUGGAUGUCCCCUUUUUUUGUUGUUUUUUGAGAGUCAUAGUCUCUGUCACCCAGGCUAGAGUGCACUGGUGCAACCAUAGCUCACUGUAGGCUCAAACUCUUGGACUCAAGCAGUCUUCCUGCCUCAGCCUCCUGAGUAGCUGGACCACAAGCGGAUCACAACGCCAGACGAACUUUAAAAUUUUUUUGUUGAGACAGAGUCUUGCUAUGUUGCCCAGGCUGGUCUUGAACUCUUAUCCUCAAGCAGUCCUCCCACCAUGGCCUUUCAAAGCACUAGAAUCCUAGUGAUUACAGGCGUUCUUAUGGGUUCCUUGAGCAGCUUCAGCCUAUCUUGUGCUUCUUCCAUCUUGUCUUGCACUACCUUGACCAUCUAUUUGUUCAGAAAUGCAGAAUGGUCCUAUAAGCUCUAUAUGAACAAGUGUAUUUACUUCAUUAUCUUAGCAUACAGAGAAGAUCGAAGGCAAUUUAUUUUUUUUCCCCGUUAACCCCUUCUUCAAUUUAGCCA